AGGUACACUCUGUGAUGGUCAUACGAUGACGAAAUUGCCUAACGACACAUUUCUCAGCAUCUAUCCCUGUCGUUGAGUGACACGUGACUGUCUUCCAGGGUAAGCCUG